GACGAACGCUGGCGGCGUGCUUAACACAUGCAAGUCGAACGGAAAGGCCCUGCUUUUGUGGGGUGCUCGAGUGGCGAACGGGUGAGUAACACGUGAGUAACCUGCCCUUGACUUUGGGAUAACUUCAGGAAACUGGGGCUAAUACCGGAUAGGAGCUCCUGCUGCAUGGUGGGGGUUGGAAAGUUUCGGCGGUUGGGGAUGGACUCGCGGCUUAUCAGCUUGUUGGUGGGGUAGUGGCUUACCAAGGCUUUGGCGGGUAGCCGGCCUGAGUGGGUGACCGGCCACAUUGGGACUGAGAUACGGCCCAGACUCCUACGGGAGGCAGCAGUGGGGAAUAUUGCACAAUGGGCGGAAGCCUGAUGCAGCAACGCCGCGUGCGGGAUGACGGCCUUCGGGUUGUAAACCGCUUUCGCCUGUGACGAAGCGUGAGUGACGGUAAUGGGUAAAGAAGCACCGGCUAACUACGUG
rnacentral:rRNA from 1 species